rnacentral:rRNA from 1 species
GAUGAACGCUGGCGGCGUGCUUAACACAUGCAAGUCGAACGGAAAGGCCCAAGCUUGCUUGGGUCCUCGAGCGGCGAACGGGUGAGUAACACGUGGGUGAUCUGCCCUGCACUUCGGGAUAAGCCUGGGAAACUGGGUCUAAUACCGGAUAGGACCACAUUUUGGAUGGUGUGGUGGAAAGUUUUUCGGUGUGGGAUGAGCUCGCGGCCUAUCAGCUUGUUGGUGGGGUAAUGGCCUACCAAGGCGUCGACGGGUAGCCGGCCUGAGAGGGUGUACGGCCACAUUGGGACUGAGAUACGGCCCAGACUCCUACGGGAGGCAGCAGUGGGGAAGAUUGCACAAUGGGCGCAAGCCUGAUGCAGCGACGCCGCGUGGGGGAUGACGGCCUUCGGGUUGUAAACGCCUUUCGCUAGGGACGAAGCGUUAUGUGACGGUACCUGGAGAAGAAGCACCGGCUAACUACGUG